GAUGAAGAACGCAGCGAAAUGCGAUAAGUAAUGUGAAUUGCAGAAUUCAGUGAAUCAUCGAAUCUUUGAACGCACCUUGCACCCUUUGGCAUUCUGAAGGGUAUGCUCGUUUGAGUGUCAUUGUACUCUCACACUCCCGAUCUUUGCAUUGGGAGCAGUGGACUUGGGUUUGCCGCUUCACCGUCGCUUACCUCAAAUAGGUUAGUGCAACUCUUGGUUGGACAUAGUACGGCGUGAUAAGUGUUCUUCGCCGGUGCCUCGCAAAGAGGGUGGCCGAUCGGGAUGUUGUGCUCCAAACCGUCUUCGGACAAUCUCUGACGACUUGACCUCAAAUCGAGUAAGACUACCCGCUGAACUUAAGCAUAUCAAUAAGCGGAGGA
rnacentral:misc_RNA from 1 species